ACUCAAAGGAAUAGACGGGGGCCCGCACAAGCGGUGGAGCAUGUGGUUUAAUUCGACGCAACGCGAAGAACCUUACCUGGGCUCGAACGGCUGCUGACACUCCCUGGAAACAGGGGGCUUCCCGCAAGGGACAGUAGUCGAGGUGCUGCAUGGCUGUCGUCAGCUCGUGUCGUGAGAUGUUGGGUUAAGUCCCGCAACGAGCGCAACCCUUGUCCUGUGUUGCAACCCGAAAGGGGCACUCUCAGGAGACCGCCAGCGAUAAGUUGGAGGAAGGUGGGGAUGACGUCAAGUCAUCAUGGCCUUUAUGUCCAGGGCUACACACGUGCUACAAUGGACGGUACAAACCGUUGCUAACCCGCGAGGGGGAGCUAAUCGGAGAAAACCGUUCUCAGUUCGGAUUGCAGGCUGCAACCCGCCUGCAUGAAGCUGGAAUCGCUAGUAAUGGCAUAUCAGAACGAUGCCGUGAAUACGUUCCCGGGCCUUGUACACACCGCCCGU
rnacentral:rRNA from 1 species